AUAACCUUUUUGAUCUCCCACCGUAGAGGGGCCUCCUACCCUGCACUCUUCCGAACACCUCGUAGUCCACGGAUUUGAGUGACUGGGCGGUAGACAUGGCGGCGGCGAGCCCUCUGUUGAGGAGCCGGAGAGGGGCUCGGGGCGCAGCGACUGCGGCGGCUGCGAGAGGGAGGGGACACAUGGGACUGCUUGGCGCACCCCGCGCCUGUCACCGGUCCCGGACGCUAGCGCGCCGGGGUCACGCGUCGGAAGCGGCAAAUGAGACUGCGGGGCCUGGGAGCGAGGGCAGCCGGGGACGCCAGGAGGGAAGAGGCCGCUGGGCCCCAGGCAUCCUAGGCCUCUCUUCCCGGACUGGGGAGGAUGCUGUCUCCACAGCGCUCCCUACCAUUUAAUUGAUCAAGGUACUCUGUUCUCAAAGUUAGUAAAUAAAAGCCGGAUGCUGUGCCCAAAAAAAGAGUGGCUUCCCCCAGCUUUAUUAAAGUGUAAUUGACAAAUAAAAGUUGGGUAUAUUUGUGGUGUACAAGGUGA
rnacentral:lncRNA from 1 species